UUAAGCGACUAAGCGUACACGGUGGAUGCCCUGGCAGUCAGAGGCGAUGAAGGACGUGCUAAUCUGCGAUAAGCGUCGGUGAGGUGAUAUGAACCGUUAUAACCGGCGAUUUCCGAAUGGGGAAACCCAGUGUGUUUCGACACACUAUCAUUAACUGAAUCCAUAGGUUAAUGAGGCGAACCGGGGGAACUGAAACAUCUAAGUACCCCGAGGAAAAGAAAUCAACCGAGAUUCCCCCAGUAGCGGCGAGCGAACGGGGAGGAGCCCAGAGCCUGAAUCAGUGUGUGUGUUAGUGGAAGCGUCUGGAAAGGCGUGCGAUACAGGGUGACAGCCCCGUACACAAAAAUGCACAUAUUGUGAGCUCGAUGAGUAGGGCGGGACACGUGGUAUCCUGUCUGAAUAUGGGGGGACCAUCCUCCAAGGCUAAAUACUCCUGACUGACCGAUAGUGAACCAGUACCGUGAGGGAAAGGCGAAAAGAACCCCGGCGAGGGGAGUGAAAAAGAACCUGAAACCGUGUACGUACAAGCAGUGGGAGCCUCUUAAUGGGGUGACUGCGUACCUUUUGUAUAAUGGGUCAGCGACUUAUAUUCUGUAGCAAGGUUAACCGAAUAGGGGAGCCGAAGGGAAACCGAGUCUUAACUGGGCGUUAAGUUGCAGGGUAUAGACCCGAAACCCGGUGAUCUAGCCAUGGGCAGGUUGAAGGUUGGGUAACACUAACUGGAGGACCGAACCGACUAAUGUUGAAAAAUUAGCGGAUGACUUGUGGCUGGGGGUGAAAGGCCAAUCAAACCGGGAGAUAGCUGGUUCUCCCCGAAAGCUAUUUAGGUAGCGCCUCGUGAAUUCAUCUCCGGGGGUAGAGCACUGUUUCGGCAAGGGGGUCAUCCCGACCUACCAACCCGAUGCAAACUGCGAAUACCGGAGAAUGUUAUCACGGGAGACACACGGCGGGUGCUAACGUCCGUCGUGAAGAGGGAAACAACCCAGACCGCCAGCUAAGGUCCCAAAGUCAUGGUUAAGUGGGAAACGAUGUGGGAAGGCCCAGACAGCCAGGAUGUUGGCUUAGAAGCAGCCAUCAUUUAAAGAAAGCGUAAUAGCUCACUGGUCGAGUCGGCCUGCGCGGAAGAUGUAACGGGGCUAAACCAUGCACCGAAGCUGCGGCAGCGACACUAUGUGUUGUUGGGUAGGGGAGCGUUCUGUAAGCCUGUGAAGGUGGCCUGUGAGGGUUGCUGGAGGUAUCAGAAGUGCGAAUGCUGACAUAAGUAACGAUAAAGCGGGUGAAAAGCCCGCUCGCCGGAAGACCAAGGGUUCCUGUCCAACGUUAAUCGGGGCAGGGUGAGUCGACCCCUAAGGCGAGGCCGAAAGGCGUAGUCGAUGGGAAACAGGUUAAUAUUCCUGUACUUGGUGUUACUGCGAAGGGGGGACGGAGAAGGCUAUGUUGGCCGGGCGACGGUUGUCCCGGUUUAAGCGUGUAGGCUGGUUUUCCAGGCAAAUCCGGAAAACCAAGGCUGAGGCGUGAUGACGAGGCACUACGGUGCUGAAGCGACAAAUGCCCUGCUUCCAGGAAAAGCCUCUAAGCAUCAGGUAACAUCAAAUCGUACCCCAAACCGACACAGGUGGUCAGGUAGAGAAUACCAAGGCGCUUGAGAGAACUCGGGUGAAGGAACUAGGCAAAAUGGUGCCGUAACUUCGGGAGAAGGCACGCUGAUAUGUAGGUGAAGCGACUUGCUCGUGGAGCUGAAAUCAGUCGAAGAUACCAGCUGGCUGCAACUGUUUAUUAAAAACACAGCACUGUGCAAACACGAAAGUGGACGUAUACGGUGUGACGCCUGCCCGGUGCCGGAAGGUUAAUUGAUGGGGUUAGCGGCAACGCGAAGCUCUUGAUCGAAGCCCCGGUAAACGGCGGCCGUAACUAUAACGGUCCUAAGGUAGCGAAAUUCCUUGUCGGGUAAGUUCCGACCUGCACGAAUGGCGUAAUGAUGGCCAGGCUGUCUCCACCCGAGACUCAGUGAAAUUGAACUCGCUGUGAAGA
rnacentral:rRNA from 2 species